rnacentral:rRNA from 1 species
AUGGUGCUAAUGGAAAUCGUAUCAGGAAGACCGAAUUCGCUUGAACUAUACACUGCAGGUGGUGAUUGUGAUGUUUUCUUCCCUGUGCAUGCUGCGCUUUUGGUCCUCGAGGGAGAUGUGGCAAGCUUGGUGGAUGACAAAUUAUCUAGUGAUGUGAAUCUAGAGGAGGCUAAACGACUAUGCAAGGUUGCUUGUUGGUGCAUUCAGGAUGAUGAGUUUGAUCGGCCGACAAUGGGAGAAGUUGUUCGUGAAAUAGAGGGUCUAUCUGAUCUUGACAUGCCUCCCAUUCCAAGACUACUUUAG